AGUGAACGCUGGCGGUAGGCCUAACACAUGCAAGUCGAACGGCAGCACAGGAGAGCUUGCUCUCUGGGUGGCGAGUGGCGGACGGGUGAGGAAUACAUCGGAAUCUACUCUGUCGUGGGGGAUAACGUAGGGAAACUUACGCUAAUACCGCAUACGACCUACGGGUGAAAGCAGGGGAUCUUCGGACCUUGCGCGAUUGAAUGAGCCGAUGUCGGAUUAGCUAGUUGGCGGGGUAAAGGCCCACCAAGGCGACGAUCCGUAGCUGGUCUGGGAGGAUGAUAAGCCACACGGGAACUGAGACACGGUCCAGACUCCUACGGGAGGCAGCAGUGGGGAAUAUUGGACAAUGGGCGCAAGCCUGAUCCAGCCAUACCGCGUGGGUGAAGAAGGCCUUCGGGUUGUAAAGCCCUUUUGUUGGGAAAGAAAUCCAGCUGGCUAAUACCCGGUUGGGAUGACGGUACCCAAAGAAUAAGCACCGGCUAACUUCGUGCCAGCAGCCGCCGUAA
rnacentral:rRNA from 1 species